rnacentral:rRNA from 1 species
GAUGAACGCUGGCGGCGUGCCUAAUACAUGCAAGUCGAGCGAACAGACGAGGAGCUUGCUCCUUCGACGUUAGCGGCGGACGGGUGAGUAACACGUAGGUAACCUACCUAUAAGACUGGGAUAACUUCGGGAAACCGGAGCUAAUACCGGAUAAUAUUUCGAACCGCAUGGUUCGAUAGUGAAAGAUGGCUUUGCUAUCACUUAUAGAUGGACCUGCUCCGUAUUAGCUAGUUGGUAAGGUAACGGCUUACCAAGGCAACGAUACGUAGCCGACCUGAGAGGGUGAUCGGCCACACUGGAACUGAGACACGGUCCAGACUCCUACGGGAGGCAGCAGUAGGGAAUCUUCCGCAAGGGGCGAAAGCCUGACGGAGAAACGCCGCGUGAGUGAUGAAGGUCUUCGGAUCGUAAAACUCUGUUAUUAGGGAAGAACAAACGUGUAAGUAACUGUGCACGUCUUGACGGUACCUAAUCAGAAAGCCACGGCUAACUACGUG